rnacentral:rRNA from 1 species
CACGUAGGGGACGAGCGUUGUCCGGAUUCAUUGGGCGUAAAGCGCGUGUAGGCGGCUCGGAAAGUCGGUCGUGAAAUGCCGGGGCUCAACCCCGGGACUGCGUCCGAUACUCCCGAGCUGGAGGCAGGUAGGGGAGAUCGGAAUUCCUGGUGUAGCGGUGAAAUGCGCAGAUAUCAGGAGGAACACCGGUGGCGAAGGCGGAUCUCUGGGCCUUGCCUGACGCUGAGGCGCGAAAGCGUGGGGAGCAAACAGG